UACGUAGGGUGCGAGCAUUAAUCGGAAUUACUGGGCGUAAAGCGUGCGCAGGCGGUUUUGUAAGCCAGAUGUGAAAUCCCCGGGCUUAACCUGGGAAUGGCAUUUGGGACUGCAAGGCUGGAGUUUGGCAGAGGAGACUGGAAUUCCUGGUGUAGCAGUGAAAUGCGUAGAUAUCAGGAGGAAUACCGAUGGCGAAGGCAGGUCUCUGGGCUGAAACUGACGCUCAUGCACGAAAGCGUGGGGAGCAAACAGGA
rnacentral:rRNA from 1 species